GGGGUGGUGGCGCAGUUGGCCAGUGCGUAGGUCUCAUAGCUUCUGAGUAAUCCUGAGGUCGAGAGUUUGAGCCUCUCUCACCCCAACGAUUUUUUUUUGUGCCACAUUUCCUUCAGAUCGGGUCUUAAGAUUGGAACGCAAUUUUCUUUUCAUUUCUUACGGACAUGAGUUUGUUAUGGAAAUGCAAGUGGAGAAAAUUUACAAAUGGAUGGUCCAAAUUCUCUUAUAGUUACGGACCAUAUGUUCCAGAACAAUUUUUUAUUAGACAAACUCUGAAAUCCCAUUUGCUAAUAUGCACACAGUUCCACAAGCAGGUCCUUUAAACAAAUACUAUAUAACUUGUUACAUCCAGCCAUCGUUGAGGGUGAUGUCUUAUUAAUUCGUUUGAAGGGCAAUCAAGUUGUUGUAGUAUAGUGGUAAGUAUUCCCGCCUGUCACACGGGUGACCCGGGUUCGAUCCCCGGCAACGGCGGUGUAAAUCACUUUUUACGAUUUUGAUUCAACUUUAUUUUUUUUCUUCCCUUACUUCUUCUUUCUCUUAGUUAUCAAUACCCUAGACAUUAUUUGAGGGAUGUGGCUACUUCUUUAUUUUUGUUUUGGAACUAUUUAAAUUUAUGGUGAGAGAAUGGUUUCCGAGUCUAAGAUAAAGAAGACUUUCGGGCUAAAAAAAACACAUAUAUGUGUUUACAUUUACCUCUCUUCAAAUUCAUUAGUGAAGGCUCACUCCGUUGGACCUCUCGGAUUCAAUACAUGUCUUUUUACCACUAGAUCAAACCAUUCGAAUUAUUUCAGCUCUAAGGAAGAUAUGUUCCUUGUAUUCAUGGAAGAUUUUUUUUUUUUUUGGAAAGGCAAUCAACACUUCUUCUUUUUUUUUUUUUUUAUAAGCAAAGGCAAUCAUCACAUAAAUUACAUUUUAUUAGUGAGUGUGAAUUACUUAAAUCUACUUAACAUUUAUUUGUAGAGUGUCAAGUUUUGAAAUUUAGUUAUGGAUUGGUUGGAUGUUAGUAGUGUAAUGUCAAAUGGUUUGUUGGAACUUGAUUAAUCUUUUGGUGAUUUAUGCUUUUCUCGAAAAGUCCAUCAAGUUGUUUCGCAUGCGGUGUGCAUGACUUGUGUGUAAGCUAUUUGUAAAGCUCGGAAUAAUAUUAUUUUUCAUCACAGAGAGUUUAUAUUGGGUAAUAUUGCAAAAACUAUUAAAGAGUGAUGUUGGUGACAGUUCAAAACUCUAAAAUAAAUGUCAAAGGAUUCAAGUCUGAACUUCAUCUAAUGAUGGAUCCAAAAAUUUCAAGAGUCUAAUUUAGGGUCUAAUCAUCAAUUGUAUUUUUUGAAAAGUGUCAUUUAUGUAUUUGUAAAUAUUUUGUAAAUAUUUCUUCUAAAUAAAGUUAUUCAAAGUCAUUUAUUUGAGUGGUUGAUGGUUUCUAUCAAAUAUUUUUUCUCUCCAACAAACCAGCCUUAGUUUUCUCUCUCUAGGUUUUCCCUUACAGUUUCUUCACUGAGGAGUGGUUUUGGGUCAAUUCUUGACCUGAAAUCAUCCAUCUUCAUAUUUUUCUCUCUAAUUCAAUCUAAAUAAGUGAUUUUCACAUAGAUCUAGGUUUUUUCCUUGUGAUUUCAUCAUCUAAGUGUGGUGGUUUGUUGUUCGUUGUCUUGUACGACGUUGUUUGAUUUUCGUCUUCGUGCGGUGUUCAUUUGAUUCAUAUUGAAAGAUCGAUUAUUCAAUCAAAGAUUUGACCGUCAACGUUGCAGAUCCGGAGGUCAUGGAUAUUCCAGUCACUUUAAUUUUAUCAUAUAUUUUUGUAGGCAUUAUGCCUUUAUAUGCUAUUAACUUGGAUGUUGUGAGUUUAUUCACAGAUUCAUCCUUUACGUUUUUAGAGGUGUUGAAUGAUUAAUCUCUCAAUUUUAAUGAAAGAAUAUCAUUUUAUUUUUAUAAAAAAAAAAAAAAAAAAAAAAAAAAAAAGUGGUAGAUGAUUUCUAAUUUAUGAGGCUAAAUUACUAUUCCAUAAAUUUAAAGAAUUAAAUAGACCGACCAUUGCAAUUUGAGGAACUUAAAUGUAUAUUUACUCAUUCGGACUAUGAUGCUAGGUUUCGUUAUUGCGAUUGAUGAUACUCAUUUUAUUUAAAUAUUAAUAUAGUUGGUCAUAUUUAUUUUUAUUUUUGUUGAAUAGUCUAAUGGCUAAAAAUUCAUCUUUUAAGAUGAGUAAGUUUUUUUUUUUUAACAAUUAAGAUGAAUAAGUUAGAAUUCAAAGUUCAAACAAUAGCUCUUGCAUUUAUGAUGUGAUGUCUCUAUUAACCGAGAUAAGUUCAUGAAGACUCACACACUCUAUUUUAUUCAAUGCAAAUUUGGCUAAUAAGUAAGGGAAAAACAUAUAUUUCUUCUAAAUAAAAUAUGAUGAUAAUAGAUACGAAUAAAAGUAAAGUUAAAGAAAAAUUAGCAUGCAUUAUAACGACCAAAAGAAAAAGGCUCAUUAUAGGAGUAGUUUAUUGUUUUUUAUAUAAAUUAUUUUGUAUAUAUAUAAGUUUGGUUUAGACUAUGAAUAACAAAGGGGUGGUGGCGCAGUUGGCUAGCGCGUAGGUCUCAUAGCUUCUGAGUAAUCCUGAGGUCGAGAGUUCGAGCCUCUCUCACCCCAACUUAUUAUUUUACU
rnacentral:tRNA from 1 species